UAGGACACAAGGAGAGAGAGAGAGAGCCCCCUUUGGUUCCAGUUUUCUUUUCUCUGAGAUGCCGGAGAUGGCGUUUGAGAUGAUGUAAACGGUUGAUCCGUUCGUUUUCCUGACAAAUGUGAAAAGGACAGACAUAUGGGUUUGUAAAUGGACAGAAAAUCCUGACAUAAAUAAAAUGUGUUUUUGCGCUGAAUCCUGCCCAUUUCAGCCUGCCUGUCUUAUAAGUACAGGAUUGCAGGCAGAAUUCUGUUUCUGCAAUUUGUUUACUCCAGUUUAUCCGUGCCAUCACCAUCACAAGCCUGACAAUACGCAGCUCUAGGCUAGCUGAACUAUCUGUAGUUUCAUGGGAUGCAAUUAACCAGGUGAAACAAGACCAAGCAUAUUGUCCAGCUAUUGGCAGAUUGUGCCACAAUCCUCCUACCCUUGUCCAGCUGCAGGCAGAUUGUUGCAAGGCAUCACCAAUUUUGUGUCAUCACGUUUCAGUUACACAUCAUUCUUCAGAAGCGCAAAACUGAGCAGAGUCUUUAUAAAGACAAAACACAUACAGUACAAUUCUUCUACACACACAAAAUAUGUUUCGACAAGACGCGAUCGGCAUAGCUAGGACCUGCUUGCUUGGAGUGCUGCUGCUAAUUUCACAUGAAACAGUUUGAUCUCUGCUUCCAAGAUAAAACAAAAUUACAAAAUCCUGUGGCCUAAUGUGGCAGUACCACACACAAUUCAGCCUCGGCAUUCCAGAUUGUAUGUAUGUAUGUAUGUAUGUAUGUAUGUAUGCAUCCUUUUUGCUGCAUCCUUCUCCCUUUCUUGCUUUGCUCCCCCUUCCCCCCUGCCUGCGGUCGCCGGUCGUCGUUCGCCAGCGCUCUUUUCUUCACCAACGGAACGGGUUCUGCUGUUGGAGACAAAACUUUAAUGAAAUCAGCUUAUAAGAUGGGUGCUACCACAAGCUCAAGCUGACAGUAGCGAGUGAGCGAGAGUGCCGGCAUUACCAUCCCCUUCUUUUUCUUCUUCUUCUCGAUGUACGCCAGCACCUCCUCCUGCUGCCCUUUCGACGUCUCCAGAAGCUGCAAUGUUACAUGGAUCCACCAUUAACGGAGACAAGGCUAGACAGGAGUGCUUGCCUGAAUCAAUGUCAUGUGUUGUGUCAGCUUACCUUCUUGGUGGCCUCGAGCUCGGCCUCGAGGGCGUCGAGCCGGGUGGCGGCGGCGGCGAGCUGCUCCGCCUUGUCGGCGGGCAUCUCGGUGGGCCGCGACCCGAGGGCGGCCACCUUCUCCUCCAGGUCGCCCACCCGCUUGGCCAGCGCCUCGUACUGCGCCGUCGACACCCCCGCCACCAUGACCGGGCCCCCGCCUCCCCCUCCCUGCCCCUGGGCCUGCAGGAGCUUGCGGUUCUUGGCCAUGGCCUCCAUGGUGGCGAUGCCCAUGGCCGCGUCCAUGGCGCGCUUCGGCGCGAUCUUGCCCACCCGGAACAUGGCCACCACCCCCAUCACGAACGCCAUGAACCCCGUCACCACCUGCCGGUCCCCGGCGUCGCCGUGCUUGUACGCGUCCGGCAGCGACGCGUACAUAUCUGCCACCAUGCCAAACACAUUCCCACUCUUCGUUCAGAACCACACGCAAACCAACGCCUCAUUCCAUUAGCUCUAUCUGCUUUUUCAUGGAGUGUUUGUUUGGUUGAAGGGUGCAAAGGCCGAGCUGACCUCUCGCGAUGGCGAGCUUCUCCGCGCUCAUCUCGCCGUUCCAGUUGAAAUCCAUGCCCUUGUCCGCCAUGGGGAAGAGCUCGUCGUAGGGCGCGGAGCCCCCCUCGUUACCGGAAGGAGCAGCCUGCGAAUCCUGGGUCAGAGAUGCAACAGAAUUAGGCUACAUACAUUCAAGUUAGCACUACUACCAUGGAAGGGACCAACAAUGUUGUCUGGCUCGCUACUGUAGCAAAUCCGACAAAUGCUAGGUGUUAGACACAUUCCUUCACCUUGGCCUCUUCAUUUGGCACCUCAUGGAGGGGAGCCAUAUGCGGCGGGUGUUCGACCUUGUCGUGCGCCACCUUAGGAGAGUCGACGCCGUCACGGCGCAUCGACUCUUGCUUCUGCAAAGGCGAUGUUCGUCAGAGAUGCGAGCGAUAUGUCGGGAAAAAAAGGCUAGGUAAAACCUGCAUAUAUGAGUAGGAAAGCUCGUGGCAACCUUUACAGCCGGCGCAGCAUCGUCCUCGGUGAUCGUCUUCUCCUCGGCGCUGGCAGGGUCCGAGUUGUUCAUCCCGCACCUCCCCAAGCCACAUUGCACCAUCUGAAGAAUCAAACCACAAAAUGUUCAUGGUACUGCUCAGGAGUGGGUUCAGCUGUAGUAGCAAUGUAGCAUCACUACUACUUUCACUGGCAAGUAUGCACUAGCAAAUAUUCAUUCCCACGCAUCGUGUAUGAACUCCGAUUGUUGGAAAAUAACCAUUAUUAACCUUUAUGAUUUCAGGGUCCUUCCACGGUCCUUUGUCGGAGCGCAUGCAACCUCCGCCCUCGCAUACACAAGUGCCCCCAAAGAAUUCGGGCAAUUCGCUGUCGAACCCCGCAGAACAAGAACAAAAAAAAAGUGAGUUCAACUUCAGCAUGCUGCUGAUACUAAUGCAAAGCAAUCUCAUUUGAAUUGUCAGUGCUGCCAACUUGCAAAAUCCUUUUAGAGUUGCUGUAUAAAAAGGGGAACUUCUAGGACAAACCUUGGAUCAAUGACUUCCAGCAACUUGCUCUGGUACUUGUUGCCGAGAACCUAAACCCCGAGGCAUGAACCGUGAACAAAAGGGAUUAUAAAUCUUGAUCAAGUAUAUAGAUUAGCUGAUGACUGACUGAUAAAGUACAUGAAGUGAAAAGAGAUGGGUUACAUGGAUCUUGGCUGUGGUCUUGGGGUCAAGGAAGGACUUGACGGUGUUCCACAGGAGCCUGAAUCCCUGACCGGCGUUGAUGAUGAACAUCCGGCACAGGGUCUGCAUCGUCAGUUAAAAUCAUCAGCCGAGCAUCAUUUCCUUCCAAGAAGAGAUAUUUGGCAAACAUGUAAAUCAAUAAAUUUUUUUCCCGGAAUUCCCUUGUCUAGAGAAUUUUCCGUCAAGUACUUCUAGUUGACAACAUUGAUUUUUAUUUUUCCGGGAGCGCACAAAUCUGCUAACAAAACAGGCUGACCAAAUUGUAGACAGAUAAAAAGUACUCCCUCCAUAAUCAAAUAUAAGAGCGUUUAGAUCACUAAAAUAGUGAUCUAAACACUCUUAUAUUUGUUUACAGAGGGAGUACACGAUAAAAUUGGGUUUAAUUCUCAGGUUUACAUGAAAUUGUCUGUGCCGGUUAGCAUUAAGAUUUCUGAAAGAGAAUCAAUACCGAAGCAUGGGCCGUCAAUGGAGCAGUAUCACUGCACACGCAUCGGCAUAUCGUAUCAUAUAUAUAUGGUAUACCUCAGGGAAGUUAUCCCCGUCGAUUUUCUGGAGCUGGCCGAUGAGAUCCCUCGCAGCCUUGUUGAAGUUCUUGUAGCCCUGCGACAUGCCCAACAGUGUCACAUCAACUUUUUCUCCAGUGUGGCUGCUAGCUCUAUGAAAAUGCUGAAGAAACUAGCUAGGCAUGGAUGAUGAGCAGUUAAUUAGUUACCACGCCGGAGACGUCGAGGAUGGUGGUGCUCUGGUCGACGUGGCGCUUGGCGGAGAUGGAGCAGGCCGGAAACUUGAGGGCGAAGGCCCUCUCGAACUCCCUCACGUGGUACCUCACGUAGCGGUCCAUGCUGGUGACCUGCAGCAGCUUGGUGGUGUCAAUGGCGCCCAGCUUCUCGAUGUAGAUCGGCCGGCCGUCCUUGUCCACGCCGUGGUGCCCCUGCGGGUAGUGCUCCAGCACCUGCUCCACCUCCUCGAAUUGGAAAUCCUGCGUGCGUGCGUACCUCGAAUUAAUAGUUGCAUUCAUCUCCCAUUAAUUUUCCGGAGAAGACGGUGAUGGAUGGGUAUCUAAUGGAGCACGCUACGCUACGUACUUCCAUGAUGGUGUCGGUGCCGAACUCCUUGCGCCAGUUGAGCAUGUCGGACCACAUCUGCUUGCUCUUGUCGAUCUCGAACUUGCGGGCCUUGAGGAAGCGGAGCAUCAUGUGGUAGUCGUCGUGGCGCGCCGGGAGGAGCUCCUCCAGGACCAGCGUCUGCCGGAACGCGUCCACGGAGGCCGCCUCCUUGGCGUCGCGCACGUCCUCGAUGGCCACCGACAUCACCUUGCUGCUGCGCUGCCGCCCCGACCGCCGGCUCAGCGAGCUGCGGAGCAUCUUGGAGGAGGCGCUCAUGGCGCGGUGCCGGAGCGACGCCGACGACGCCAUGCCGGGCGCCCGCGAGGUCGGGGUCGAGGCGGCGCCAUCCGCCGCCGCGUCGGGCGUCGCGGACAUGGGGCGGCGGGGGUGUCGGUCGUCGUCGCCUUAUUUCGUGGAUCGAUCACACCGGCUAGCUAGCUAGCGGGGACGGCGGCCGGCCGGGCGAGCGAGCGCCGCUGCACCACCACUGUCCUGAACGAUCAACCACCGCCGGCCAUCGCCAGCAAUUAGUUUCCUGGAUCGACGGAGAAGAGAUAACAAGAACCGAAUUUACACGGAUCGACAGGUGAAUUACCUACGUACGUACCAGGGAGACGGCCUUGCGGGGAGGGUGAAAUGGAGAGGGGAAGAAGAAGGGUGGGGACGGGGAAUGGCGAAUGCUAGGUAGAGUUCGUUGGUGCAUGCAUGGCCCCGGCCCGCCAUGGGCGUCCCCUUCCCCACGAGGCUCUCCCACUAUUUCAGGCACCAUGGUAGCUGCACCGCUCCUAACUUUAACUUGGACCAUGGCUGUUUUCAUAGUUGGUUUAUCUAGUUCAAAUCACGUUACUAAUUACUCUCUCUAUUCAUAAAUAUAAGAUGUUUUAAGUAUUUCAAUAUAAACUACAUACGAACUGAAUGGACUGAACAAACACACUAAAAUGUGUCCAUAUGCGCGAACUGAGCAUAACUCAAAUGGUUAGCUUCCUUAUGGUGGAACUAGCCCAUCAAGGUUGUCCUAGACUUGACACUGGUGUGUGUGCGUACCUUUAUAAAAAUGAGUGUAUGUGCAUGUGUAUGAGCAUCUGUAAUUGUACUAUGUAAAAAAUAUGUCUGUGUACAUCCAUUCAGAAAAAAGUUAGAACAUCCUAUGUACUCCCUCCAUUCCUAAAUAUAAGUCUUUUUAGAGAUUGACCAAUAUGGACUACAUACGGAGCAAAAUUAGUGAAUCUACACUCUAAACUACGUCUAUAUACAUCCGUAUGUAAUUUAUAUUGAAAUCUCUAGAAAGACUUAUAUUUAGAAAAGGAGGGAGUAUAUUGUAUGUGUGUGUAUGUGGGCAUCUGUCUAAGUACAACCAAUUCAAAAAAAGGUUAGUAGUGUAUGUGCAUGUAUGCCGGCAUCUUCUAAAUACAUCCGACUUAGAAAAUGGUUAGAACAAUGAAACUCAAAAAAAAAAAAAAAAC
rnacentral:lncRNA from 1 species